rnacentral:rRNA from 1 species
UGAGGAAUAUUGGUCAAUGGACGCAAGUCUGAACCAGCCAAGUAGCGUGCAGGAUGACGGCCCUAUGGGUUGUAAACUGCUUUUAUAUGGGGAUAAAGUGGGGAACGUGUUCCCUUUUGCAGGUACCAUACGAAUAAGGACCGGCUAAUUCCGUGCCAGCAGCCGCGGUAAUACGGAAGGUCCAGGCGUUAUCCGGAUUUAUUGGGUUUAAAGGGAGCGUAGGCUGUUUGUUAAGCGUGUUGUGAAAUGUAGGAGCUCAACUUUUAGAUUGCAGCGCGAACUGGCAGACUUGAGUGCGCACAACGUAGGCGGAAUUCAUGGUGUAGCGGUGAAAUGCUUAGAUAUCAUGACGAACUCCGAUUGCGAAGGCAGCUUACGGGAGCGCAACUGACGCUAAAGCUCGAAGGUGCGGGUAUCGAACAGG